AUGAGAAUACCAGCGGCAAAGUCCCAACAGUGGACGCCAAACUCAUAGUAUACCUCAGCCAAACCCUUAGCUACACUACACAUGUUCAGGGCAGCGGAUCCCUGGCACCGAACACUAGUGGAAUGAAAUGCGAAAGGAGGUUGAAGGCCACAGGAGUAACAACUCUAUGAAAAGAUGGUGCAAGACAUGGAAAGGUUAUAGACUGCUAUAGAGAAUGUUGUGGGAAACAAGGGAACAAGGGACACUGCCCCAGUGAGCCUAAGCCUGCACCUGUUGAAAAUAAAACUAGGCUAGGCUAGGUAAGGGAGGUUUUAUGCCCUGGACACCAGGACAGUUUUGGGAAAAGGAUGUAGACAAGCCAUACCUGUGAGCUAAGUUGGGCUGUGAGAUGAUACGACGCAGGUUCUCAAGAACUUUAGUGACUCUGCCUGUAGAGCGAUCAGAUCCUAUUUCCGUUAUUACUAGAGCUUGAUUUAAUUCUGGGAAAUAAAAAAAAAUUGGGGGGGGUUAUCAACUACCAGUAAAACUAUUGUUAAGGGUGUAUGUGGUGUAUUUGGUUUGGUUUAAAUUCUAUUAGUAUGGAGGGUUUUAGCCUUUGUUGGACAUAGCCAUAGCAAGCCUUGAAUUAUUGGGAGGGGGGCAAUACAGAAACAUAAAGAAAACAAUGGGGGCACAGCCACGCCCCUACUGGUCAUUUCCGUAUAAUUUUUUUAAAUAUUGGGGGGGGGGGCACGUGCCCCACCCCUGCUACGGCCCUGUUGGACGCCAUCAGAUAGAAUACAAUAAUGUUUACCUUUGAUAGUGGAAACUGUCAGCUUUUUAUUAUUACAAUAAGAUCCUUUGCCUUUUACAGCAGUGUAUAAUUCAUCCAGUACACUAUUAUAAAUAAUUCCAACAACAAUCUGGAAAUAGAGAUAAAAAAUGAGGCAAGUAUGUUCCAUAGGCUGGGGGAGGGGUGCUGGGUCCCCUCCUCCACACACAGCAUAUUUCUUGAUUUUUUAGGAUGAAUAUAAUAAAAAAAAUACAAGAUAGUUUUGACAACUAAAACCAAGGCAAGUACAACUUGCUUCGUACAUGGCUGUAUCUAGUCAUAAAAAAAAAAAAUAAAAAACAGUACCUCUUUA